CGGGGUGUAGCGCAGUCCGGUAGCGCGUCGCAUUCGCCAUGCGAAGGUCGUGUGUUCGAAUCACACCAUCCCAACCA
rnacentral:tRNA from 1 species